CUUAAGAAAAAUUUUAAAGAAAGUGUUUUAUAAAAAAAGUUCCAAGAUGUUGAAAAAUAAUGGAUUUAACGGUGAUGGUUUAAACCAGUUUAAUCCUUAUCCCAACAAUAAUAAUGGAACUCAAAACAAUGGUACCUCGUUUUCAAACAAUAUGAAUCCGAAUACGCAUAAUGUGACCACCUCUAAAAAUAACAUGAAUCUCAAUCAAAACAGUAUGAAUUCUUAUCAAAAUAAUAUGGGUCCUUAUCAAAAUAACAUGAAUCAUUAUCAAGUUAAUAAUAGUAAUAAUUUGUCAUCAAAUAACUAUAACAACUUCUGUAACAAUAAUAAUAAUAAUAACGUAUAUAACAAUAUGAAUAAUGCAGGUAAUUUAAAUAAUUACAACAACAAUAACAGUAACUAUAACGAUAACUACAACUACAAUAGUAACUGCAGCAAUUACGGCAACUACAACAAUAACAGCGGCUUUAACUAUAAUAAUAGUAGUAAUAGUAAUAUGUACGGAAGGAAUAAUUUUCAAAAUAAAAAUAAUUUUUAUAAUAAACAAAGUAAUAAUAAUAAUGAUAAUAAUAAUAGAGAGGUUUUUUUUUCAGGAGUGAAACAAAACGUAUCUAUUUUUGGUAACAAAGCAAAGAACACUCCUUUCUUUUUAAAAAAUAAUAAUAAUAAUCGUAUUAAUGAUAAUAGUAAUAAUAUUAAUCAUAUAAAGAAUAAAUCUAUGAAGGCUAAUACUAAUUUCCGAUUGAAUGAUUAUGUAAGUAAAGAUAAAACUAUAUUUGGUAAUAGACUAAAAGAAGGUAAACCUCUUUUUGCCAAAAUAAAUGCUAUUAAUUCAUUUAUUUCAAGUAAUAAUUAUAAUCCUAAUAACAAUAUAGAUGGUAAUUUAAAUAGAUUAAAUAGUAGUUAUAAUCAAUUUAAUGCUAACACUAAUUGUGGUCCUAAAAAUGCUUCUUCUUAUUACCCAUAUAAUAUUAAUAAUACUAAUACACUAAAUGAAAAAGAUGAUAAACAGCUUUUAAAUAUGUAUAACGCAAAUGGAAACACUAAUGGUUUAAUCCCUAAUGUACAAUCAAAUAUUAUAGGACCAUCCACUAUGAAUAACCAAAUGAAUAUGGAUCAGUUUUCUUAUCAAAACAAUAGCAUUAAUAACAAUAUCAGUAGCAAUGUUAAUACUCACAACAACUUGCAAAAUUCAUAUUUAUUCAACAAUAGUGAAAGUAAUAAUAGUACUUCUAAUCUUAAUUAUACAUUACCUAAUAACAAUCAGUUUAAUUUGAGCACACAAAAAAAUAUACAAUGUACUACUAUUGAAGCAUCGGCGUUACAAAAUUAUCCUAACGUGUUGCAAAAUAAUAAUAUACUACCGACACCUAUAAGUACUAGUAAUAUAGCACCAAUAAUAAAUACUAGCACAACACCUAUAAGUUCAAAUAUAAUAAACAAUCUGAAUCAAUCUGGUAAUUUUACACAAAAUAAUACAGGUUUACUUGAUUUUAAUAACACAUUAUCAAAUUUUAAUAACAUUAACAAUAGUACUAUUCAUGAACAGAAGGAAUUAAUUAAUAACCAUUUUUUGAAUAACACACAUAUAUCGGGAAAUGUUUUAAAUAGUAGUUUAAAUAAUAACACUAAUGUCACUACCGCCACAAUUGAUAACUCCAAUUCAGCCAUAAAAGAAACAGACUAUGCUAUGGCAACAAAUAAUUUAAAAGAAAUAGGAAAACAAGAUGAACUACCUAUUAAUAGCACUAAUUUAGAAGAAAAACCUAUUACUAAUAAUAGUGAUAUGCUUGCAAAAAAUGAUACACAAAACAUAGUAAAAAAAGGUAAUAAUAAAAUUAAUUUUUGUAAUGAUGAAUUUAUUAACUCAUUAGAAUCUAUAACUAACAACAAUUUAAAUAGUUAUGCUGAAAACAGAUCGACUAUAUAUACUUUUCCUUGCUCACAAUCUUUUAAUAAUGCUGAAUUUUAUUUAAAAGCAAUGGAAGAAUGUAAAAAAGGGGAUAGGCUUGAUGUGGACCCUGAGUUAUAUAAUAAAUUAUUUUCAAAAAAUACUGAACAAGGUUUUAAUGUUUUAAAAGGAAUCAAUACAAACGAAAAAAUAGAUAGUAAAAUGUUUGAUAUGUGUAUUUAUUAUCCUUUUUCUCAUGUAGAAAAAAUUAAAUUUAGAGAACCAGUAGAUCCUAAGAGUGUACGUCAGCAGAUAGUUUUACCCUUCGAAUUAGGUAAAGUUCCAACAAUAAUUUAGUUCACAUCAAAAUUGAACAUAUUUUUAGAAAUGAGUGUAUUCUUGGAUAAAUUAAAUGUUAUCAUUCUUGACCAAUACAAAUGUAAAUACCCAUAGUCCACACAAAUACUUUUAGUUAGCUUUAACAUAUAUACUUACAUUUUUAUAUUUUUCUCAUGUGUGUAUAUAUGUAUAUAUUUAUUUAUAUUUUUAAUUUAUCUAUUUAUUUAUCCUUUCAACUGUUGUAUUGAUCUAGUAAUUAAUUUAUUUUCUAGCACUUAAGCAUAACAUAUAAUACUUUAGUUUACUCAUAUUAUAUUUUACUUUUUUUUUUUUUUUUUUUUUUAUUUGUAAUGUUUUUAAAUGUGAAACAAACACAUAGUGUUUUAUAUAUGUGCGGUAUUUAUUGAAGUUAAGUAAGAUCUUUUUUUAUUUUUGUUAUUUAAUUGUUCAUACACACAUGCAUAAAGUCUUCUACAUGUACGCAUAU
ensembl:lncRNA